AUUCGGCGUCGAGCGGCGGACGGGUGAGUAAUGCCUGGGAAUAUGCCUUGAUGUGGGGGAUAACUAUUGGAAACGAUAGCUAAUACCGCAUAAUCUCUACGGAGCAAAGAGGGGGACCUUCGGGCCUCUCGCGUCAAGAUUAGCCCAGGUGAGAUUAGCUUGUUGGUGAGGUAAGAGCUCACCAAGGCAACGAUCUCUAGCUGGUCUGAGAGGAUGAUCAGCCACACUGGAACUGAGACACGGUCCAGACUCCUACGGGAGGCAGCAGUGGGGAAUAUUGCACAAUGGGCGCAAGCCUGAUGCAGCCAUGCCGCGUGUAUGAAGAAGGCCUUCGGGUUGUAAAGUACUUUCAGUUGUGAGGAAGGGGGUAUCGUUAAUAGCGGUAUCCUUUGACGUUAGCAACAGAAGAAGCACCGGCUAACUCCGUGCCAGCAGCCGCGGUAAUACGGAGGGUGCGAGCGUUAAUCGGAAUUACUGGGCGUAAAGCGCAUGCAGGCGGCUUGUUAAGCCAGAUGUGAAAGCCCCGGGCUCAACCUGGGAACCGCAUUUGGAACUGGCAAGCUAGAGUCUUGUAGAGGGGGGUAGAAUUUCAGGUGUAGCG
rnacentral:rRNA from 1 species